rnacentral:rRNA from 1 species
GAUGAGCGCUGGCGGCGUGCCUAAUACAUGCAAGUCGAGCGAACGGACGAGAAGCUUGCUUCUCUGAUGUUAGCGGCGGACGGGUGAGUACACGUGGAUAACCUACCUAUAAGACUGGGAUAACUUCGGGAAACCGGAGCUAAUACCGGAUAAUAUUUUGAACCGCAUGGUUCAAAAGUGAAAGACGGUCUUGCUGUCACUUAUAGAUGGAUCCGCGCUGCAUUAGCUAGUUGGUAAGGUAACGGCUUACCAAGGCAACGAUGCAUAGCCGACCUGAGAGGGUGAUCGGCCACACUGGAACUGAGACACGGUCCAGACUCCUACGGGAGGCAGCAGUAGGGAAUCUUCCGCAAUGGGCGAAAGCCUGACGGAGCAACGCCGCGUGAGUGAUGAAGGUCUUCGGAUCGUAAAACUCUGUUAUUAGGGAAGAACAUAUGUGUAAGUAACUGUGCACAUCUUGACGGUACCUAAUCAGAAAGCCACGGCUAACUACGUG